rnacentral:rRNA from 1 species
ACAUGCAGUCGAGCGGAUUUAUCCUUCGGGAUAAGUUAGCGGCGGACGGGUGAGUAACACGUAGGUAACCUGCCUAUAAGACUGGGAUAACUAUCGGAAACGAUAGCUAAGACCGGAUAACUGGUUUUCUCGCAUGAGAGAAUUAUGAAACACGGAGCAAUCUGUGGCUUAUAGAUGGGCCUGCGGCGCAUUAGCUAGUUGGUGGGGUAACG